rnacentral:rRNA from 1 species
AUGUUCGAACUGUCUAGCACCUCUAAUUCCCAGCCCACAUAUGAACUGUCUCGUCCGCAUCGUCGCCACUGGAACCCCGCCGCCAUCCCCAACCCAUUGCACUGCCAUCAGAGGCCCCAAUCCACGACACCGUCAUUUGUGCCACCACCAAACGCCGCCCUGUACAUCCAGCUCCUCUGGACAUACACCUCGCCCUCUGUAUGUUUGAUGAAAUGUCUAAGCAAUUUUUUAAUUCUUUUGCUCGGUGGUAGGCAAAUGAUGAAUUCGCCGGAUGAUGACUAUGGGAACAAGGACCUCGAAGAAUUCAUAUACAGAGAGUUAGUUGAUUCGUCGGAUUUGAAUGAUGAAGAUACUGAAAUGAUGACAAUGUGCAUCCAAGAAGAAAUGGAGAAGCAAGAGGAGCAUGUUCUAAACUUCAAGGGUUCAAUAAACGAUGGGAGAGUUGUUCCCCGGGAUAGGAUCGCUGGCGCACGACUUCUCUACAAGGACUACUUCACAGUGGACCUAACGUACCAUGAUGUUUUUUUGACUUCGCUACCGCAUGAGCGGAAAGUUGUUCUCGCGCUUAGUGAAUGUCCUAGAGGAGACUAA